rnacentral:snoRNA from 1 species
UACCUCUCGGGAUCACAUCUGGAGAGUUUCCAGUACUCUAUCAGUCUCGACUAUGGGAGGGAGAGUCAAGCAGAGGCAUAUCCAUUUCAUUCCUAGCUUUGGCAGUGGCUAGGAAGUGGAAGGCAAUCUGUGACAAGU